UGUCCCAGAUGCUCGGGCUGCUGGAAGAGCCCACAAACCAGUUCCUCCUGGGAAUGGUGGCCAAUUCCCAGUGCUGCCAAUCUCCCUUUCAUGGGCAAAGCCAGCAGGAGCAGCAGAGCCAGGCAUUUCCAGCUGCUCCCAGGGCUCAGGAGAGCAGCGUGGGGCAGUCCCUGUGAGCACAGACCCUGAGCCUUGACCCUGCACUGCCACAGAGCAGAGGAACCAAGAGCACGGAUGUGGUGAGCACAUGGCACCAGAAGAGCCUCCUGGGCACUGACAUUCAGCUCUACCUGCAGAGACCUGAGCUGGAUUAAAAUUGAGUCAAAAUAGGGGCAAAAGGAAAUCCUGAUCCACGCUGGCCAAAGCUGAGGACUGAAAUCGGUGCUGCCCUGAGCCCGGGGAUGAGGCUGAUUGACACCGACACCAUCUCUGCUCCGGUCCCAGCUCCUCCCUCCGCCAGGUUUCCGAUUUCAAGGCACGCUCUGGGAUGCUUUGGUGGGCAAAACCCAGACUUUUCUUCCCAGACCUUUCAAUUAAACAACUUCUUCAGCCAAACAAGAACCAUCUGCCCUCUCACACAUCUGCUGGGACGUGGGGAUCUGCAUUCCGAGGGUGAUGGAUUGACCAUGGAGCCGGCAGAGCCCCUGACCUCCCAGCCUACAGCUAAAACCAGGCAAAUCCUUUGGAAGGCGCCUGCAAAUGGAUAUUUUCAUCUGUUCAAUAACAGCCUGGUGUCCUCUUGGCUUCUCCACACGCUGAUGCAACCGAGUUUUUCCCGAAGGGCCGCGGGAUGCGCGUGCGGGGGCGAUAAUGAAGGAUAAAUCACCAGGAUGAGAUAACCAUCCAUAGAAUGAAGUCAUCUAAGGACAGGUUCGGACAUAUAUAUUUCAUUGUGAAAGACCUCCUUUAUUCCCACUAAUGGAACAAAUUAAAUCAGCCAAGCUGAAUAAAACUCUCACGUCCCAAGACGUAACAACGCACUUAAAAGUUCUCCGUUCCUCUGGUGGCACAAUCCAAUCACUCACCGCUGUCCCCUGGAAAAGGGGAGGCGGGGAGCAAGGACUGAGUUCAGGAAUUCAACAGGUGACAGGAGUGUGUUCCCCACCCCAAAGAGAGUCCCAGCACUGUGUAUUUCUCCAUAGCACUCCUGCAGACAGAUCCCGAGCAGUGACCUCACAGCCUGGGAUGGAUUCCAGGCACGUCCAGUGCAGCUGCCCUGGGGACAGAGGGGCACAGGUGUCCAGGACAGCGUGUGACACCCAUUUUUCCAGGAGAAUUGGGGGUGAUUUCAUUUGCACACUUUAUCCUUCACCUCAGGGCGUCUGAAAUAACCACACCUGGGCCCUUGCCCGCAGCACUGCAACACCUCCACAUCUCCAAGCACACAAGUUAAAGCCUUAUCACCACUGAGCAACUCGGUGCUGGGUGAAACCCAGGUACAACGUCACUGUUCCCGCUUCUCCCUUGCCUGUACCACCCAGGAGCCUUCCCAGCUCGUGGGAAGGCAGACAAGGCUGCAGGAACUGCAUUUUUCCUACAGCCAGCAUAAACAGCAUGAUGGAAAAAUAAUACCUAGAUGGCAACUGGCAGACAGAGGAGAGACAUUUAUUUAUUCUUGAUCACAAACAAUGUCCUGCAUUGACAAGCUGAAUGAAGGGCACUCCACUGAUUUAUUAGACCUAAUAAGAAACAGACCUCUCGGGAUGAAAUACAAGAUUGAUUUUUAGUGGUGAGCCUUGCUGCCAUCCCAGGCACUGAGCUCAGGCUGAUGAGAUGGAACCAGGCGUGCACAGGGACACGGAGCUGACACAGCUCUGCUAGGGCAGGGGAAUAAACGGGAGCAUUUGCAGGGGGAAGGGGAGAUGGAAUGGAAACAAGGCAGUAACAGCCCUGCACGCUGAGGGCUCCUCUGCUCUCCCCGCACCCUCCUCUCUCCCACUUAGGCUCUGUGUCCCAAGAGCAGCAAACCACUGGGAAGUUUAAGGUGCAGUUCCUGGGAAACCUCUGGGCCAGACCCUUCCCAUGAAUCUGCCUUCCAGAGGAGCCCCUCUGAACACAGCAAGUGCAAUUUUCACAUCAAUCUCAGCAUCUCCCAGGCAAACCACAUCAGCUGAGUUCCGUGGAUGCCGUUUUCCAUCAGGAAAAAGACAACUAGCACAGCAGUGCUUAGCUUGAGGCCCUAUUAAUAGCAGUUCUAAUUAUAUGGCUGCAAAUUUAAUUCAUGGCAAUGAUUAGUGUCAAAAUCAAAGGCAUCACACAUCAAUAUUGAUAGAAUUGUAUGAAGCCCAUAAACAGAACAAGCAAGCUGACACAUCUCCCCCCAGCACUUAGUUGCUGUUCACUGUUGCAUUAAUGUCCCUUCUCAUUUUGCUUGAUUGGAAACGGCUUCAUUGGAGGAAUCCACGAUUCUGAAUGGUUUUGUCUCCAACAUGAUCCCCUUUCCUCCUGUUCCCACAGCCAGGGAGCUGAGGUGCUUUGGAAGGAGAGCAGGAGGCAGAACUUCACCCACGUACCUGUGCUUGAGCCAGAGGGCCCCAGCAUCAGCAGCAUUUGCUUUUCACCUACUUUGAGACAAUUGCUGGGGAGCAGAACCAGCAGGAGCUGGGAAUGUGGCAGGAGCAGUGAGGUGAAGAGCUAAAGGCAGGAGGACACCAGUGAGGGAACCCAGUGUUUCCAGUAAGGAAUUCUCACUGGGGGAGCACAGGCAAAUCUGAAAGGCUUCAGAGACAUCUCCCUGACUUUCCUCCAGCUACACAAAAACACCUUCCCUGAAAGCCCAGACAGAGCCAGCAGCUCAUUUCCAAAGGAAAUCAACAGCUGUGGGCGAGGGAAUAGGUGUGACAAAGCUUUCAGACAUUAAUUGUGUGGGUAGAUCUGAGACGGAGGAAGACACGAAGGAGAUCUGGUGGAAAAGGCAUCUCCACAAAUCCCUGGCACUUACAGAGGUGCUGAACAUUUCCACCAUCAUUUCACAGAUGGGGAAGGAGUGAUAAGGAAACAGUCCCGAGCACUCACUGGCUUCAAGACGUGUCUGGUUAUCUUGAAACAGGCACAAAAUCCCGAGACAACCUGUUAACUUCCCCCGGGUCUCACCUCCUCUGCAGCCAGAGCCCCUCAGCUCCGUGCAGAGCUGCUUCCUGUGCCUCACCUGGCCUCUCUCAGGCCAUGGAAAAGAUAAUCCCACGUGUCAAAUGAGGGAAGAUCUGCUGAAGGUGUAGGACAGAACGGUGAGAGAGAGAACAGCAACAUCCUCGGCCCCACACAGGGGAGGACGGGACCACGAUUGUUCCAGUUAAUUACAGGGGGGAUGGAUCCCAUCAGCUGCAGGCAGCUCUGAUGUUAAAUAAGGGCAGAUGCCACGAAAGCCUGACUGUAGUGAAUGUCUGGAAUGAAUUUACUCCAGGGAUGGGCCAAUUUUCAUCCAACAGAUGAAGGAUUCCAGGUGAAGGAUUCCACAGCCCUCCCUCUGGACAGCGGAGCAUGAAUAGAUUAACUUCGCAUCAAAAACUGUUCAGUGUAGACUAGCACCAGGAAUUAAACCCUGCUGGAGGGACUGCUGCUUCUGUAAUCCUUCAUAAUUCAUGGAACAAGCCCGUAAAUACCUCGUGUGCAGGCACAGGCUCUUGGCUUUUGCUGCCUCUGAGCGACGAGCCUCCCCUGUCCCCCCAAACCCCUGCACGCAGCGAGCACCAGGCUGCAUCUCCGGGCUGCAUCCCCAGCUCCGAGCUCGGCACGUGCAUUUGGGCUGUGCCAAGGGCUCCUCUCCCUUCCAUUUAGCUAAAAGCACCCCGGCUCUCCCCUGUGCAGGGAAGUGAAGGGCUCUGCUUUACAAGCUCCCUCUCCCCCACGUUCAAAACUGCCCCACUGACACUCGAGAGGCACCAGGGAGGCACCUAAUUUACUACUACUCAGCACUUGUAAAGUGCUGAAUGAAUAUUAAUGAACUGAUGUAAUUAAAAUGAUGCAGACAUUCAAGUGUA